AGAGUUUGAUCCUGGCUCAGAUUGAACGCUGGCGGCAUGCCUUACACAUGCAAGUCGAACGGCAGCGCGGGGCAACCUGGCGGCGAGUGGCGAACGGGUGAGUAACAUAUCGGAACAUACCCUAGAGUGGGGGAUAACGUAGCGAAAGUUACGCUAAUACCGCAUACGAUCUAAGGAUGAAAGUGGGGGAUCUUCGGACCUCAUGCUCAUGGAGUGGCCGAUAUCUGAUUAGCUAGUUGGUGAGGUAAAGGCUCACCAAGGCAACGAUCAGUAGCUGGUUUGAGAGAACGACCAGCCACACUGGAACUGAGACACGGUCCAGACUCCUACGGGAGGCAGCAGUGGGGAAUUUUGGACAAUGGGGGCAACCCUGAUCCAGCAAUGCCGCGUGAGUGAAGAAGGCCUUCGGGUUGUAAAGCUCUUUUGUCAGGGAAGAAACGGUGGGAGCUAAUACCUUCUACUAAUGACGGUACCUGAAGAAUAAGCACCGGCUAACUACGUGCCAGCAGCCGCGGUAAU
rnacentral:rRNA from 1 species